GUACUCACUUUGGCAGCACACAUACUAAAACUUGAAUGAUACAAGGGAGAUUAACAUGACCCCUGUGCAAGUAUGACAUGCAAGUUCAUGAAGUGUUCCAUAUUUUU
ensembl:snRNA U6 U6 spliceosomal RNA